rnacentral:rRNA from 1 species
AGAGUUUGAUCAUGGCUCAGAGCGAACGCUGGCGGCGUACUUAACACAUGCAAGUCGAACGAGGAUCUUCGGUGUAGCAAUACAUUGGCGGUCCUAGUGGCGCACGGGUGAGUAACACGUGGGUGACCUGCCCUAGAGCUCGGGAUACCCCCUCGAAAGGGGGGCUAAUACCGGAUACGUUCCUUGGUCGAAAGAUCGAGGAGGAAAGGUGGCGCAAGCUGCCGCUCUUGGAGGGGCUCGCGGUCUAUCAGCUAGUUGGCGGGGUAAUGGCCCACCAAGGCUAUGACGGGUAGCUGGUCUGAGAGGACGACCAGCCACACGGGGACUGAGACACGGCCCCGACUCCUACGGGAGGUAGCAGUGGGGAAUUUUCCGCAAUGGGCGAAAGCCUGACGGAGUGAUGCCGCGUGUGGGACGAAGGCCUUCGGGUCGUAAACCACUGUCAGUGGGAAAGAUGGGUGUCGGGGUUAAUACCUCCGGCAUCUGACGGUACCUGCAGAGGAAGCCCCGGCCAACUCUGUGCCAGCAGCCGCGGUAAGACAGAGGGGGCAAGCGUUGCUCGGAAUUACUGGGCGUAAAGGGCGCGUAGGCGGGAUGGCAAGUCGGUCGUGAAAUCCCUCGGCUCAACCGAGGAACGUCGAUCGAUACUGCUGUUCUUGAGGAUUGCAGAGGAGACUGGAAUUCCAGGUGUAGCAGUGAAAUGCGUAGAGAUCUGGAGGAACACCAAUGGCGAAGGCAGCCCCCUGGGUUAGCACUGACGCUGAUACACGAAAGCAUGGGGAGCAAACAGGAUUAGAUACCCUAGUAGUCC